rnacentral:rRNA from 1 species
AGUGGCGAACGGGUGAGUAACACGUGAGUAACCUGCCCUUAACUCUGGGAUAAGCCUGGGAAACUGGGUCUAAUACCGGAUAGGAGCGCCUACCGCAUGGUGGGUGUUGGAAAGAUUUAUCGGUUUUGGAUGGACUCGCGGCCUAUCAGCUUGUUGGUGAGGUAAUGGCUCACCAAGGCGACGACGGGUAGCCGGCCUGAGAGGGUGACCGGCCACACUGGGACUGAGACACGGCCCAGACUCCUACGGGAGGCAGCAGUGGGGAAUAUUGCACAAUGGGCGCAAGCCUGAUGCAGCGACGCCGCGUGAGGGAUGACGGCCUUCGGGUUGUAAACCUCUUUCAGUAGGGAAGAAGCGAAAGUGACGGUACCUGCAGAAGAAGCACCGGCUAACUACGUGCCAGCAGCCGCGGUAAUACGUAGGGUGCGAGCGUUAUCCGGAAUUAUUGGGCGUAAAGAGCUCGUAGGCGGUUUGUCGCGUCUGUCGUGAAAGUCCGGGGCUUAACCCCGGAUCUGCGGUGGGUACGGGCAGACUAGAGUGCAGUAGGGGAGACUGGAAUUCCUGGUGUAGCGGUGGAAUGCGCAGAUAUCAGGAGGAACACCGAUGGCGAAGGCAGGUCUCUGGGCUGUAACUGACGCUGAGGAGCGAAAGCAUGGGGAGCGAACAGGAUUAGAUACCCUGGUAGUCCAUGCCGUAAACGUUGGGCACUAGGUGUGGGGACCAUUCCACGGUUUCCGCGCCGCAGCUAAC